rnacentral:rRNA from 1 species
UACGUAGGGAGCAAGCGUUGUCCGGAAUCAUUGGGCGUAAAGCGCGCGUAGGUGGCCUCGUAAGUCCGCUGUGAAAGUCAAAGGCUCAACCUUUGAAAGCCGGUGGAUACUGUGAGGCUAGAGUACGGAAGAGGCGAGUAGAAUUCCUGGUGUAGCGGUGGAAUGCGCAGAUAUCAGGAGGAACACCAAUAGCGAAGGCAGCUCGCUGGGACGUAACUGACACUGAGGCGCGCAAGCGUGGGGAGCGAACAGG